GAGCAAUGAUGUAAAACGAUUUGACCUGAAUUGUAUUUAAUUAAAAUACAUUUCAUGAUGGUUUCUACACUUGAACUGAGCUCA
rnacentral:snoRNA from 1 species